AGAUUUUUCUGAACUUCAUGAAACAUAUAUUCAUUUCAAAAUUUGAACUAUAAGAACUCGUGAAACCUUAAGCCACAUAUGCUUCAGUUAGCGUAAUCCUCUUAUACUUGGCUAAAAUGUUGCUACAACACUUCCUAAUUCUCAAACGUUCAACUCCCAGAGUUGAUAUAUCUUCUGCACUGAAUAACAGCUUUCUAACUUCUCCAAUCUCUGGAAGCUUUCCAAGACAUUCGAUGGAAAAACAGUCACUAGCUUUUGGCAACUUAAAAUGUAUAAUAGCUGUAGUUUGCAUAAGGAAUCAGCUGUGAGCUGGCUGUGCCAUCAAUUUUAGAAGUUCCAUACCUGCAAGUUGCAAUACCUCCAAGUUAGAAAGCAACCUGCAAUAACAAUUCCACUUGAUUAGCUGCGUAUGCCGUUCCAAGAAAUUUCGUAUAAUCAUAAGGUAAAGAUAAAACAAGGACUCUUAAGACUGUAACCUUCUAUGAAAAAUAGGUUAAGUGAAGGCCUAUAGAAAUUCGUUCAUCUAGUUUUAAUUCUUCAUGAAGAAAGGGGGAAAAAUGAUAUUGUACGCAAUGGGAAGAUGCAUUUUGCAUGGGACAAUUACUCAAAUUUAGACAAGGAGUACAGAUAAACAAAAUAUAUAUUAGGAAAAAAACCAAUGCAUUAAACUAAAUACUAAACACAGCAAAACCAAUUGGGUAAAAACAGUGCUAGAAAUCUUUAAGAGAGUGCUAUUGUUAUCAUGAGAAUAUAAAGAUAUAAUAUAAUAUGAAAAUUUGACACUUUACAGAGUCCCAAUAAAAGGAAACCUAUCAGAACUCAAUAUCAGAUAAAAAUUAUAAUUGAAUGACAGAUAAAUAUUCACUCAUACAAUGCUAGUAUGAACUCCGUUCUAGUUCAUACCCAUUGCAAUCAAUAAAAUUUUGGAUUGGAAAAGUUUUAAGAUAGCCACAUAUGCGUGCGCAUCUAGAGAGAGGGGAGUAAAAGAUAUCACCAUUUCAGCAAAGAGGUUGAGUUUCAGCACUGUUGUUCAUCCCUAUUUCAACUUUUUUUGGCCAUGAUGCCUGUGCACUGAUCAUUGGAGAUGAAGGUCAUUAAUGCAUCACAAUUAUUUAUUCUCAAAAUUAUAAGAGAAGGAAAUUCAAUUGGAUACCCAGUGCAGAAUCUAAUCAAGUUUGAAAGAGAAAAUCUUCAAGGUAUCCAAAUUAGGGGAAAGCAUCUUAAUCAUCCUCUCUUGUUCUUCUUCUACUAAUUUUUCUAUCAGUAUUAUGUCUUCUAUGGCCUUACAUCUGAUAAUCUCAAGUUUUUUGAGCUGUAAAAUAAUUAACAAUUGAAGCUGUAAAUUGACACGGUGCUAUUUGGGACAAGAAUGUGGUGGCAGCAAGUCUGCACAGUAAGGUAAAGGUACACGCCAGAAACCAAUCACACGCCAAGGGCAUGUAUCCUUAUGUCUAUCAAUGUGAAAACUCAUUUUCAGUCCAAAGACGUGUCCCAAGCAGCCCAAACAAUCAAUGACUUGCCAUUUUGUUAGGUAAUAGUUCCCUAAUUAGUUUAAAAGUGUUUUUAGAAUUUAAUUUGUUUCCCUAUUCUACAUAGGAUUACUUAUUUCGGUUUUCUGUUUUAAUUAGAAUCCAGCUUUUCCAUUUUUUUUUUUUUAACAAAGGGGAGGGCAACAAAAUAUAAAAGCUUAAGUCACAUAAAGCCUAGGAUAACUCACACCACAAAUGUCAUGAAGAAGAAGCCCAUUAAUACCAUUUACUAUAGGAUUCCUAAUGUAUUUUAGUUUAUCUAAAUUUCUUAAAUAGCAGAUUUAUUUUC
rnacentral:misc_RNA from 1 species